rnacentral:misc_RNA from 1 species
CAUUCUAGGGAGUAGUGUAGUGGUUUUGCGAAGAGGGUUGGGGAUCGGCGCAAGGGGGUGAAAUGUUGAAGACUCGGUCGCCAGAGCUGUAGCGCUUGGCCUCUUUAGGCCUCGCGUUUUUCCGCUCGAAAAGAACAUCAAACCGAUGGAAUUUCCCUCAGUUUCUUUCAUUACAACAACAACAUGCUACAUUAAUAUUUCUGAUGUAAGAAAAUAAAGGACAAGUCAAGAACAGCAUGGAGCAUUAAAUGAAGUAUGGAAGCUGAAAGCUCUGAGAGACGAUACAAUACCAGAUUCAGAGGGGUUCCAAGAUCCAUCUUCACCUAUUCUCGUUCUGGAAAGAAGUCAAGUACCAAAUCAAAUGAUGAAAAUCACUUGCGGACUGACAUCAGAGAUGAUUUUAUCUAUACAAAAUUGGGCAAAAAACCUAGUACAUAUGAUGCAGAAAUUGUCAGUCCAUCAAAAACAAAAAUUAAAAUUGAACCAUCACCCCUUCUUGUCAAAGCAGAAAAAAAACUGCCUAAAUCUGAACCAAGUUCUAAUAAUACCUUACCUAAUGGCACUCAUAAGCCAGCAGUUGAAGUCAAAGCAAUAUCAGAGCCCAAUGGUCCCCUUAAACCACCCAUUGAAGUCAAUGAAAUACAUGAACCUAAAGUUGAACAGAUUGAAGAGUCUUCCCCAGAAUUGUCUCCUAAGUUGGAAAAAGAAUUGGAUGGCGUUUUCUUUGAAGGGAAAGCCCCAGGUGCUGAAGAAAUUCAUUCCGCCUCAAAUAAUUCAAAAUCAUUAUGGAUCAUGUCAAAAGAAAAACUCAGUUGGAAUAAUUCUACCGUUGCUAGUUACAACCCUAAAACAAAAAUGUUCCGUUGUGUGGUGUGCCAAGCUGUGGGUUUCAUGUCCCGUAUUGGUGAGCAUUAUUUAGGUACCCAUUGUAAUGCUAAAGUUUUUCACUGUCCUCAGUGUUCAUAUUGCAGUGCAUGGUGGCGUUGUGUUCGAAACCACAUGAGUAAAAAUCAUGGAGUAUCUAAUGCACCUGCCUCUAUGUGGAAAAAUCAACCUCUCUUAGAUGAAAUAAUGCAGAUCUUGCAAAAUUUGAAGUACAGUGUUGACUGUGAGGAUAGAGUUGAGCGAGUUGCGGAGAAUUGUGGAAAGCGAUAUAUAUGCCCUAAAUGUCCGUAUGCAACUGACAGAAGAGAUCUCUAUAAUCGUCAUGAAAAUAUCCAUCGUGAAGAAAAACCAUUUCAGUGUUAUAUUUGUUAUAAAUUGUUUAAUCGUGCUGAUCAUGUUAAAAAACAUUUCUGUCGUAUACACAAAGAAUUCAGUUAUGAUAUAAAUUUAAUCCGACGUCUGCCUUCAAAACGUAGUCGAAUUCCUGUGAGUCCCUCUCUUAAUGGUGGAAGUUCUGGGUUAAAUCAUGAUGCGAAUUUAUCUUCAAAUUCAAUAAAUGAUGCAGCUUCUAAACCUUUACCACUGACAGUUCCAGUUACACAAUCUCAUUUAUUAAAUUGUUUAACUGGGUCACCUACAAUGGUAAAAGUAACUAGAGAAAUUGAUCAUAUGCCAGAUAUUCCAGCAAAAGAAGCAAAAAUAGCUGAAAGCAAGAAUGAUAACACAUUCAACAAAUCGCACAGCAACUUAUUGACAUUUUUAACACAGAAUGCUUUUUCACCAAAGCCAAUUAAACCAACCCCAGUGAGAAAUACAGAUACUCCUAUCAAAGAUAUAUUACAAGAAGCCUUACUGAAGCCUCCUGGUUUUACGUCAUUUCAGAGCAGUCAACCAAAGAAGUAUAAUUGCCCUUAUUGUCCAUGGACUGGUCCUAAUGCAUGGGCAUUGCGUAUCCACACCUCAAUGCAUUACAAAACAUUCUGUGUACUGUGCAACUUCAAAUCAAGCGAAGUUAGUGAUUUGGAGAACCACAUGUGGGAGUGUCAUAAGAAGAGGUCUUGCAAUAAGUGCAAUUUUCUAGCUGACAGUCUUUUAGCUUUAGAUGUCCACAUGAAGGAUGUGCACCGUCAGAAGCCGCAGUUUUGUUGUCGCCAUUGUUCACAGACAUUUGAAGUACGAUCAGACAUGGAAGCUCAUUGCAUCUUUAUUCAUAAUCAAGUAUUACAAGAGUGUAAAGAAAAUGGCUGUGAUUUUUGCACAACAGAUCCUGAUGUCCUUGAAGUUCAUAAGAAAGAAAACCAUAGUUCAUCUUCUACAUCUCAAGAUACGAGUGCCUCUAGAACCCUGUGCCUCUACUGUGGAUGUGAUUUUGCUGAUCCUCAAUCACUCUCCUUACACGAAGAACUCUUUCAUGAAAAUCCUCUUCAAAAAGCUGGUCGGCGUCCACUAAAUCCGUAUUGUUGUUCAGUAUGUGGUUACUCAACUCCGAAGCAGCCAAUGAUGAUGGAGCACAUGAGAAUUCAUACCGGCCAAACACUACACUGUCAAGCUGGUGAGGGUUGUCAGUUUGAUACUCCAUAUGAUACAGUUCUCAGGGAACAUGUGCUGCAGAGUCACAGUAAUGACGAUGGUAUAGUCAGGUGUCCUCACUGUGGCUUCCGCUGUAGCACAAGAUUUUCAUUUGUUACUCAUUAUAAAGAACUCCAUCAUCCAUUUUGUUGUCAGCUGUGUGAGGAUGUUGAGCACAAGCAUUUUGUAUUACCCUUCACAACUUCUUAUUUGGAUUCUUCCAUCAAAGCUUUGUUUCCUUUUGCUAAAAAAGUUAGUUCAAAUUCAAAUGAGUGUUCAGAGAAAACAAAUGACGACAGCGGAAGACGUUCGCGCAAGCAGACACAGCCGAGAAAAGUUGUUGUACAUGAUGCGAGUACAGAAGGAUCUGUGGCAGGUGUUAAAGCAAGUGGUUCAUCUAAAACAAAAGUCAAGUGUUCUAGUUCCAGGAACCAAGAAAGAGAGAAAUUUUUAUCUUUGUAUGCAAAAAAAAUUAGAAAAAUAGCUCAAGCAUCUCUUUUAAAGUGUAGAUUGUGUGUCAAAUGUCCAAUAUAUUUUAGGCAUAAACGGAACUAUAUACUUCAUCUACAGUGGCAUAGUUUGAAAAAACAUCAGUGUAAUAAGUGCAUUCAAACAUUCUGCCAUCGUUAUCAGGUGCUUUUACAUCAGAGAGAACAUAUGGGAAAAGAGACCAAGGCCUCUUAGCAGAGAACUCUUAUGUACAUUUUACAAAAAAUUUAAUUUUUCUUGAUAUAUUGUCUGUGCAUUUUUUAGGGGUUUGAUGUAGUUAUGGUUUUUUUUAUGCAGUGCAAACAGCAACAGUGUUUGUUGCUGGAGCAGUUGUUUGUUCAGAGGAGGUGUAUUCCAUGGUGUGUGUGGUGUUAGUCAGCAGCUGGUAGUUGUUAUGUUUGCAUAAAAAAGAAAUUAAGAUGAAUGUGCACUGUUAAGUUUCAGUGAAAGGAUGUUUACUAUAUGCAUGUAUGUAUGUGUGUGUGUGUCAAUGUUAGGCAUGUGAUAAUUUCCAAGGUCCUGCUCCUAGCAAUUGUGAUAAUUUUCUGGCCUGGAAUUAAAAAGAAAAAGAAAACUAUCAUUUCUCCUAUAUAAAUGUAAAAUUAUAUAUAAAUUUAAAAAAAUUUAAUUAAGAAUUUAAAAUUUGAAUUUGUAUUUACACUUUGUACUCACUGCCAGCAGAACACUGUUCUGAUUGUAGCUGUGAUGUUGCUAAAAGCAUUGAUCAGAAAACCGGUGAAUUUAUGUGGGACUAAUAAAAUUACAAAUUGUUAGAAUUUUCUCCUGAAUAAAUUCUUGUUGAAGUUAAAAUUGUGAGUUUUUGAAAGUCUGUAGAAUAUGAUGUGUAAAAUUUGGAAUUGUGGUUUUAAGAUUUAAACGUUUCUUUUCUGAGAUACAUAAGACUGUAAAUCUUCUGCAGAUACAUGAGUUCCUCAAGCACUGCUCAUACUUUGUGUUUAAAAUGUAGACAUGGAAGUAUUUGAGAGAGAACACAACCAUAUCAGAUAUUUCACGUAUGCCAUAUUUUGUGCAUUUAUGCUUGCAUUCUACAAAAUGCGAGAUUAUUAACACUAUUAAUACUCAUGGUUUCUGGGUCCAAAUAUUCAUGCAUUUUUGUGCUGCUAAUUGUAAUGUAUAUCUUUUUAGUUCAUUUUGGUAUAUUUUAAUUCUUGCUUAAAAGUGUUGAAUGAUAAAAAGUGAUUGUAUCACGUAUAUCGCUAGGAAUAGCAUCGCUUCUGUAGUGUUGCUUUUUUCUAAAGCAGUGUUUCCUGAACUAUUUUUAAUCAUUGAAUGUUGAGUUUAAAAUUUAUUAAAUUAAUUAUAUAAAACUGUUGAAUUACAAUAAUUUUAUUCUUAUUAAGAGAAAUACUUAUACAAGUAAAAUUAUUAAAGUUAUGUUAAAUUAUUAGUGCUUAAUGAAUGUGGGAAAUAAUAAAAGUGAAGAAAUAUGCACAUUAUUUGAAAUGGUUGAAGAAUAUUAAAGAAUGAACCAUCAAAUUUUAUUAUUUAUAUUAUUCAGUUGGUUUGAAUAAAGGUAUUUUUAAACAGAAAUAAUUUGAAAAGCAGGAGUAUGUUAAGUUUUUUUGAGGGGAGGGUGACAGAAUAUUUGUUAUCCUAUAAACAGAGUAAGAUUUAUGAUUGCAGCUUUCAUUUAUGAAAUAUGAAAUAUAGUUUAGGAAAUGUUGUUUUGACGUGUUAGAAAUUUUUUUUUUUUUUUUUUUUGCUUCAAAUAAAGUUAAUGGUUUUCAGUAUUUUGAAUUUUUGUAGUCUGUAAAAGAUUAAUGUGCUUUUUUUUUUUUUUUUUUUUUUUUUCCCCAUCUUAUUUGCAUGAGAUUUGAUCACAUUUCACUUAGAAUGGCAUCAUCUGCUUCUGUUAUGUUUCUACAAAAUUUUAGAUAUCUAUACAUGUUAAAUUUUUAUUAUAAAUUUAACUCUUUCUGAACAGAAAGCAGAAGUAUUUCAUUCUUUUUCCGGUGAAUCAAAACCAGUGCUGUUUAUGCAUCUUUAAAAAAUUGCUUGUGUUAUACAUAAAAACUGCUAAUUUAUAUACAUUUUUCCUUUAAAAGAUUAAAUUCAUAUUGCAUUCAUAAAAAUGCCAAGUAGUUUUCUCAGUGCUAUAUGGGUAUCCAGUGUUUUCUGCUUCAUUAUUAUUUGUACUUGCAAUGUGAAAGCUUCAAGUAUAAUAUCAAAAUCAUGAAAUUUAGUUUGUUUUUAUCAAAAAGAGUCAAAUCAAAUAUUUUUAUUUAUACUUUGAAUUUCUUGUUUUAUGUUGAGCAUUUUCCCUGUGAAUUAAAAAUUUUAUUGCUUUUUUGUUAAAUGGCUUUAGCUGAUCUGUAUUAUGUAUUUUUAUAUACAAAGCUUGAAAAUCAAAUCUAAUGUGCAAUUAGCUUAUUUCAUAUUAUUUAUUAUUUCUUUUAAUAUAUAUAAACUUUUUUCUCUUUUACAACUUUUAUUAACUUCAACAACGAAUAUUAUUAAAUAUAUGGAAAGCAAUAAGUUUUGAUUUGCGCAUCCUAAGUAUUAGGUUAGAAAAGAAAAAAAGUGUUUAAUGGUUUUAUGAUAGUAGAAGCUUUCAUCAUGGAUUUUUAAAUAUGUGAUGAUAAUCACUAAUUUGUUGUUCUAAAUACAUAUCUGGCUUACCACUUCAUUUUUUAAAUGAAAUAUUUUUCAAUGUUUAAGAUUUACUUCUUGUACUUUCAUUACUUCCUUACUGAUCUUAUGGACUCAAAUGUUUUCUGAAUGAACUAUUUUUACAUUGGUUCAUAGAAAAGUUUCCUGAUUUAAAAAAAAUAUCUUAACUCUGCAAAACAUGUUGUUUAAUAUUAUUAUUGCUGAUCUUUAAAAUAAACUCUACAAGCCGACACUAUAUACUCACAAAAUGUGUAUAAAAAUGUAAAUUGACUGCAAAGUAGACUUGUUUAUUGAACACCUAGAUUUUUAUAGGGCAUUGUACUACCUCGUUGAAACAUAGUGUAGUUUAUAAAUUCUACAGUUCUAGCUUUUUUUUUUAGAUUUUGGAGCUUAAUAAUUGAGAGAAAAUAUGUAUUUUUCAUUUUGUCAACAAUGCUAGAUAGAAAAUAUUUCAUCAGGCACUUAGAACAAUUUAUAUUUACAUUGCCAGAUAUUUUUUGAAUAUGUGUAUGUUGAACGUUAAUAUUUCCAAUUUGGAUGUAAUGUAUACCAAAUUAAACUGAAAAAGUAGCAAAUUUCAUAUGCAUAAUUCACAAUAUUUUGUUGUGACCAGUUUUAUUUUAAAUAUAUAAGAAAUACUUAUAAUACAAGUAGUUUAUGCUGAGUUUUUAUAAGUGUUUAAUUCUAGUAUAAUACUUUGUGUGCCCAAAAUUUGUUUUGACUACAGAUCACCAAACAAUCUGCUAAAUUUAAAGAUUACCAUUUCCAUUUUUGGUUAAAAUUUCAUUAUUUGAUUACUUUGUAUUUGCAAUAUGUAAAUUUUGUUGUAAAGAUGUUUUUUAUUUUGUCUCAUAUUUCACAAAAAAACACCGCUUCAGUAGUUUUAAAGAGUAUAUGAGUUAUGACUUGGGAAGGGAAGAUUAUUAAGUUGUGUAACUGAGUUAUUUUAAUGAAAUUUAAAGUUUUGCAUUCAGUCUUAAACUUGAAAAAUUCUGGCAUUGCAAAGUAUUAUUUAUUUAUUUAUUUAUUUAUUUUCAGUUAUUUAUAUUCAGGUAGUUAUUGGGUUCAUUUUGAUUGUCCACACCUUUACUGAAAAGUUACAAAAAGUAUUCUUAAGCAAAGCAGUAUAGCACCAAAAUAGUUAUGUGGCAACCAACAGUGUCACCAAAAAGUAUUUCUUUGGCAACCCACAUAGUCUAUCUUGGAUAGUUUGCAGUGUUGAAAUUUUAUGCCCAAUUAAUUUAUAGUUGGAUUGGAUUAGCCAAGUUUAUAGAAUUCUGAGAACUUUUUUUUAGCAAAGACUGAUUGCUGUGUAUAUGGGAAAAACAACAGCACAAAAAAGAACAAUUUCUUGAAAGAAAAAAAAAUGUGUUUUAUUAUCAUUGCAUUUCACUUUUAAGGUUUUAUUGAUUGAUUGCUCUUGUAUGGAAUUCUUAGUGCACCAUCAUUUUGUAAAUUGCUGUUGCCUUUUGCAUAUUAGCUUGGCAAAAAUUAGUCUCUAGUGAGUUUACAAAUGUUCUUAUAUUCUGACAUGUUUGUCUCUUCAGUGGGGGUACAGGUAAUCGGGAAAACAAAUUGGUUAUUGUUCUAAUAUGUGCAAUAUUUAGGAAUUUUUAUGCAUGCUAUUACAUUUACAUGAUAAUUACUGAAAACAAUUUCAGAAAUAUGUGGAGAAAGGUCAGUAAAAAUAUUUAAGGUUUGGAAAGAAUUAGUGAUCAAAUUCUCCAGAGAAUCGUUGAUGUCAGAUUGUAUACAGAUUUACUGUUUGUUCGAUUUAAAUAUUGAAAUGCAUCAUGUAUAUAUUUAUUUUACAGUGUGUUGCAAGUUCUUUGUAAUUUCCUUAUCAGAACUAAAAGAAAUAUGAUUAUACUUUCCAGAUGAAAUUUAUAGUGCACUUCAGUGUAAGAGUGUGGAACAAACUUCCAGGUGGGGAAUGGUAAUAAAGAUAUUUUGGCAUCCCCUCACUGCAUAACAUAGAUAACUUUAUAUAUGGGCCACUUUUCCCCAUUAAUCCAUCUUAUUUUCUUAUCAGAUUUUAUGAAGAUUUAGGUUAUUCUAAAAGUCAGCUGUAAUUUUAAAUAAUUGUUUUCAAUGUAACGUGUGUGUCUUAAGACAACUGCAGUGAUUCCAAAUAAUUUGAUCUUCUGUUGAGAUAGUCAUUUAAGGAACGUAAUUGUUGUUGGUGAUGAAGUGGCAAUUUAUUCAUUGCAUCAAGAAAUGUUAUCUAUAUAUUGACUUACAUUUUUUUUUGUGAUGGUAAAUUAUUAUUAUGCUACAUACAACAAAGUAUGUCAAGCAAGAACUUCAGUAAAAUAAUAAUAACAUUCCAUAAUGCUGGAUAUUCAAAGCAAAUAGCAGAGGUGUUAUAUCAAAAACUGUUUUAAUUCUGUGUUAUUCCAUGAAGUAACUUUCUGUAUCAAAUUUUCAUCAGGUGCAACUAAGAGCUGUUCAUAGUAUGGUUUAUCUGAACCAAGAGAGUAUUCCAUAUAUCAACUAGCUCUACUAUAUGUGUGAAAUUCAGAUUUUUCAACUGUUCCAGAUGUCUAGCAAGAACAGCCCUUUAGAUGUGUUCAAGAAAUCAAAAAGUCAAAACCUCUUGUGACUCAUCCCAACAACUAUCAUUGGCUUAGGCUAUGGGCACUUUGUAGGUAAGAGCUCAUUUGCCUAGUCCCUUUCUGAUUGUAAAGGAGAUUCUGGGAUGGGAAAUCCAAGGGUCUUGCGUACUCUAAUUCCUACCAUUAACCUCUUGAGAGGAAUUUUGCCUGGAUCGCAUUUUAAAUGCCCCUAUUGUGCAAAGACAUGUAUUAAUUAUUAAUAAACAUCCAUGCCUUCUGUUAUAAAUUCGAGCCAGAAACUAUAGCAGAUCUGGCAAUUUAAUAAUUUAUUUUCUGGGGAAUUAAAUUAAAAAAAAUAGUUCAGGAAAUUGAUUGCAGUAUAUAAUAUUAUUGAAACAAAAUAAAUUGACUAAAAUAAACAUAAAUCUUUAAUUGUAGUGGAAAAUGUAUGCAAACUGUUUACUAAUUAUUAAAUUGACUUUUUUUACUGAAUUAUUUGCUGCACAGAAUAUUCAAAAUCCAAGCAUAGCUCUUCUGUGCUAGCAUCCAAACAAUAAUAAUUCAGGAUUUAGCAGGGUACUAAAUGUUUUCAUUACAUAGUGGAUGGAGAACAGCACGGGGGGAUGGGUCAGAGGGUCUCCAACCCCUUCCACCAAACCACAUGAGAGGACUUUUGAAUCGCCGCAUAAAUUUACAAACAUCCAUGACUUCUCUGGGGGUUUGAACCUGGGCCCUUUGGCAUAGCAGUCAGCAAUGCUAACCACCAUACUGGUUGGACCGCAGCUACAUUAUAUGGACACUUUGUAUUGUUUGUGUGUCUGUUUAGUGUUUUACCUUUUUUUUUUUAGAGGUCACUGAAUUGCUGCUAAUAUGAAAUAAAUAAAACAUUCAAACAAAAAAAAAAAAAAAAUUUUUUUUUGG